UCAAAAGGGCCUGAGUGUGUCUAAAUGUGCUGUGUCAUCAUCUCUCUCUACAGCUAUCUCUCUCUCAUCCACUAUAAUUUUUUUUUAAAAAAGACGUGUAAAGUGCAUGACGCUGCUUUAUCUGCAUUGUCAUGCGCUUUAUAGAGAGGAGAGCGAGGAGUUCUCAUGGAGAUGGACGCUUAGGCAUGAGAUGUGAACUCAACAACCCCCCAAAUAAUCCAAAAUGUUCUCAUUGUAGCCUUAGUCAUGGGUAACCCAGGGACAGCAGUUGCCAGGCAACCAAUGACAUCACCACAGCAACAAUCCUCAGCUUCAUCAAGCUGAGACGGGAAACAAGAGAUGUGAACGAGAAUGUCUGCGUUCUCAUGCCUUUGUUUUACUGGACAUGCUGGUCAUAUGUCCUGUGUGAGUCUUUCGUGAGUUGGUGACAGAAGACUUUGAUUUUGAAGCCCCACUCAUCCAAUAAGAUAAACAUCUUGACUCAGCAACAGUAGCAGAUGCUGGACCAACAGCAAUAAAUAAUAAACAGCAGGGAUGAGUGCAACAAGAAUCGGAGAUAUAGGAUUGGGUUUAGGUUACUGUUUCGAACUGCUUUGAACUGGGUCAAAUAUGCAGAAGAUGCUGGAAAAGCGAAGAAUGUGCAGGACCUGGAGGAUUUUUCUGAAGAACAGUGGGCAGUUUAACAGCUCAGGACAAACAAGUGACUCAUGAAGAACUCUCACAAAACAUAAACACAGUCGUGGAUCAUCCAGGUAACAACACAGUGUUAACAAUCAAGCGUAUGUAUGUAAACUUUUGAACGGGGGUAAGUUUUAUAAAUUCAGCUAUUGUCUUGUGGACUAUAUGUAAACAUGUUAUGUGUUAUCUUAUUCAGGACAGAACUAAAUAAACAACAACAUGGGAUUUUUAUGAUCGCUCUCAUUUUGUUAACAGUAUUAAGAUUUAGCAGAUUCUGCAAGGGGUAUGCAAACUUUUGGGCACAGUGACAGCUGGUCUCGAGCUAUUUGUCAAUAGCUCGAGAAUGAAACGAUUAGCGUUGAGCAUUGCAUUAUAUCACAAGCUCUCAUUGAUGGGAAAAACUAUAAAAUUGCUCCAAGUCUAUGGAUCCAAACGUGGUAAACAGAAAAGCUGUAAUCAUUUUGCUCAAAUAAAAACCUUUUUGUCCUUUUGUUUACGUUUUUUACGUUCAUUGGUAAAUCUGUGUUUAGUCUAUAUCAACUAAUAAUUUGUCUAUGGGGAAAAAAGGAUGAUAGAGUAAAUAAUCUACCUUGCUCACGUUCUUUAGAUGCAUGCAUGAAUCUACAGACUGAGCUAGACAGAAAUCAGUCCUAGCCUUACUUCUUUAUACCAUUCUGUGUAUUUUUCUUACGACAAUUAGGAGUGCUGUUGUCUACAAAAGUCCAAAAUAAUCCACCUUAAAAUGGAGCAUACACAGGAAGUGUUCAUUUAUACCAGCCGCCCCUACUUGUAUUGGUCACACUGCCACAUUAAUUGAGCUGGGAGCUGCUGGUGAUUGCAUCAACUCCACUCCAGCCAACUCUUUUUGGCUUUCUUGACGAGCGUUUCCUUGAAUAGCAGCUUUGGCAGAAAAGUCCAUUGGGUUCCAUGUCUAAAAAAAAAAAUCCCUCAUUCGGAUCUCUGCUGGAUAUCUUUCCUGUACACCAUCAGCCAGUCUGCCCUGGCUGAGUACCCAUGACUCACACAUUUUUCCGGUUAAAUAAAGAAUUUCCUACUGAGCAUCUGUUCAGGAAGAAUCAGUAUUAUCACCGCAAUGGGACUGUCCUAUUACU